rnacentral:rRNA from 1 species
AGCGAACGCUGGCGGCAGGCCUAACACAUGCAAGUCGAACGAACUCUUCGGAGUUAGUGGCGGACGGGUGAGUAACACGUGGGAACGUGCCUUUUGGUUCGGAAUAACUCAGGGAAACUUGUGCUAAUACCGAAUGUGCCCUUCGGGGGAAAGAUUUAUCGCCAUUAGAGCGGCCCGCGUCUGAUUAGCUAGUUGGUGAGGUAACGGCUCACCAAGGCGACGAUCAGUAGCUGGUCUGAGAGGAUGACCCGCCACACUGGGACUGAGACACGGCCCAGACUCCUACGGGAGGCAGCAGUGGGGAAUCUUGCGCAAUGGGCGAAAGCCUGACGCAGCCAUGCCGCGUGAAUGAUGAAGGUCUUAGGAUUGUAAAAUUCUUUCACCGGGGACGAUAAUGACGGUACCCGGAGAAGAAGCCCCGGCUAACUUCGUG